rnacentral:rRNA from 1 species
GAGGAAUAUUGGUCAAUGGACGCAAGUCUGAACCAGCCACGUCGCGUGAAGGAAGACGGCCCUACGGGUUGUAAACUUCUUUUAUACGGGAAUAAAGUGCCCCACGUGUGGGGUUUUGCAUGUACCGUAUGAAUAAGGAUCGGCUAACUCCGUGCCAGCAGCCGCGGUAAUACGGAGGAUCCGAGCGUUAUCCGGAUUUAUUGGGUUUAAAGGGUGCUCAGGCGGGGGGUUAAGUCGGCGGUGAAAUUUUGCAGCUCCACUGUAAAAGUGCCUUCGAAGCUGGUUCCCUUGAGUGCGGAUGCGGUCGGCGGAAUUUGUGGUGUCGCGGUGAACUGCAUAGAUCUCACGAGGAACUCCGCUUGCGCAGGCAGCUUACCAAGCCGUAACUGACGCUCAAGCCCGACGGCGUGGGGCUCCAACC